rnacentral:sRNA from 2 species
ACCACUGUCAAUCUAUCUACUGCUGUCAAUCUAUCUACUGCUGCUAAUCUAUCACUGCUAAUCUAUCACUGCUAAUCUAUUGCUGCUAAUCUAUCACUGCUAAUCUAUCACUGCUAAUCUAUCACUGCUAAUCUAUCACUGCUAAUUUAUUGCUGUCAAUCUAUCUACUGCUGCUAAUCUAUCACUACUGUCAAUCUAUAUAGAGUAAAUCAUGAUUCUAUUUAGUUCUAUUUUGUAAAAAUG